UGGUCAAGUACAAAGAGCAUCGGGUGGAUGCCUUGGCACUGGGAGCCGAAGAAGGACGUGAUAAGCUGCGAUAAGCUGCGGUAAGGAGCACAUAUCCGAUAUACCCGCAGAUUUCCGAAUGGGGGAACCCACAUACGGUAAUGCGUAUGUAUCAUUAAGUGAAUACAUAGCUUAAUGAAGGGAACGGGGUGAACUGAAACAUCUAAGUAGCCCUAGGAAGAGAAAGAAAAAUCGAUUUCCUGAGUAGCGGCGAGCGAAAGGGAAAGAGGCCAAACCAAAUUGUUUACAGUUUGGGGUUGUGGACCACCGACAUUGACGAAGUUAUGCGAGCCGAAUAGGGUUGGAAAGCUCAAGCAGAGAAGGUAAUACUCCUGUAGGCGAAGCAGAAAGCGCAUAGGUGGCACCAGAGUAGGACCGGACACGUGUAACCCGGUCUGAAGCAGGAGGGACCACCCUCCAAGCCUAAAUACUACCCAGUGACCGAUAGCGAAUAGUACCGUGAGGGAAAGGUGAAAAGAACCCCGGGAGGGGAGUGAAAUAGAAUCUGAAACCUGAUGCUUACAAGCAUAGGGAGCGCAAGUGACCUAGUACUUUUUGUAGAACGGGCCAACGAGUUAUGGUAUGUAGCGAGGUUAAGUUGCUGGAGCAACGGAGCCGUAGAGAAAUCGAGUCUGAAUAGGGCGAGAGUUACAUGCUGUAGACCCGAAACCGGGUGACCUAUCCAUGAGCAGGUUGAAGUAACCGUAAAAGGUUAUGGAGGACCGAACCUAUAUCUGUUGAAAAAGGUUAGGAUGACUUGUGGAUAGCGGUGAAAUUCCAAUCGAACUCGGAUAUAGCUGGUUCUCCUCGAAAUAGCUUUAGGGCUAGCCUCAAGGUAAAGAUACACGGGGGUAGAGCACUGACUGUUCGCGGGGCCUUCACCGGUUACCAACAACUAUCAAACUCCGAAUACCGUGGUAUCAUACUUGGGAGUCAGACUAUGAGAGAUAAGUUCCAUGGUCGAAAGGGAAACAGCCCAGAUCAACAGCUAAGGUCCCAAAGAGUAAGUUAAGUGGAAAAGGAUGUGGGAUUGCACAAACAGCUAGGAUGUUGGCUUAGAAGCAGCCAUACAUUUAAAGAGUGCGUAAUAGCUCACUAGUCGAGUGAUCCUGCGCCGAAGAUAAACGGGGCUCAAACUUACCACCGAAGCUUUGGAAUUAGUAUAACUAAUUGGUAGAGGAGCAUUCUAUACAGGUAGAAGGAGGCGCGUAAGCAAAUCUGGACGGUAUAGAAGAGAGAAUGUUGGCAUGAGUAGCGUAAGGCGGGUGAGAAUCCCGUCCGCCGAAAAUCUAAGGUUUCCUGAGGAAGGUUCGUCCUCUCAGGGUAAGUCGGGACCUAAGCCGAGAGCGAACGCUGUAGGCGAUGGACAACAGGUUGAUAUUCCUGUACCACCAAGGAUUGUUUGAAUGAAGUGGGGACACAGAAGGAUAGAUUGAGCACGCCGUUGGUUGAGCGUGUCCAAGCAGCAAGGCUUGAAAGUAGGCAAAUCCGCUUUCUACAAGGCUGAGCUGUGAUGGGGUGGUCGAAUGACCGGUAGCAAUCGAUUUCACGCUGUCAAGAAAAGUCGCUAAUGAGAUCCAAGGUGCCCGUACCGCAAACCGACACAGGUAGAUGAGG
rnacentral:rRNA from 1 species